rnacentral:rRNA from 1 species
GGGUUGUGAGGUUAAGCGACUAAGCGUACACGGUGGAUGCCCUGGCAGUCAGAGGCGAUGAAGGACGUGCUAAUCUGCGAAAAGCGUCGGUAAGGUGAUAUGAACCGUUAUAACCGGCGAUGUCCGAAUGGGGAAACCCAGUGCAAUUCGUUGCACUAUCGUUAACUGAAUACAUAGGUUAACGAGGCGAACCGGGGGAACUGAAACAUCUAAGUACCCCGAGGAAAAGAAAUCAACCGAGAUUCCCCCAGUAGCGGCGAGCGAACGGGGAGCAGCCCAGAGUCUGAAUCAGCUUGUGUGUUAGUGGAACGGUCUGGAAAGUCCGACGGUACAGGGUGAUAGUCCCGUACACCAAAAUGCACAGGUUGUGAACUCGAAGAGUAGGGCGGGACACGUGGUAUCCUGUCUGAAUAUGGGGGGACCAUCCUCCAAGGCUAAAUACUCCUGACUGACCGAUAGUGAACCAGUACCGUGAGGGAAAGGCGAAAAGAACCCCGGCGAGGGGAGUGAAAAAGAACCUGAAACCGUGUACGUACAAGCAGUGGGAGCACCUUCGGGUGUGACUGCGUACCUUUUGUAUAAUGGGUCAGCGACUUAUAUUCUGUAGCAAGGUUAACCGUAUAGGGGAGCCGCAGGGAAACCGAGUCUUAACUGGGCGUUAAGUUGCAGGGUAUAGACCCGAAACCCGGUGAUCUAGCCAUGGGCAGGUUGAAGGUUGGGUAACACUAACUGGAGGACCGAACCGACUAAUGUUGAAAAAUUAGCGGAUGACUUGUGGCUGGGGGUGAAAGGCCAAUCAAACCGGGAGAUAGCUGGUUCUCCCCGAAAGCUAUUUAGGUAGCGCCUCGUGAACUCAUCUUCGGGGGUAGAGCACUGUUUCGGCUAGGGGUCAUCCCGACUUACCAACCCGAUGCAAACUACGAAUACCGAAGAAUGUUAUCACGGGAGACACACGGCGGGUGCUAACGUCCGUCGUGAAGAGGGAAACAACCCAGACCGCCAGCUAAGGUCCCAAAGUCAUGGUUAAGUGGGAAACGAUGUGGGAAGGCACAGACAGCCAGGAUGUUGGCUUAGAAGCAGCCAUCAUUUAAAGAAAGCGUAAUAGCUCACUGGUCGAGUCGGCCUGCGCGGAAGAUGUAACGGGGCUAAACCAUGCACCGAAGCUGCGGCAGCGACACUAUGUGUUGUUGGGUAGGGGAGCGUUCUGUAAGCCUGCGAAGGUGUGCUGUGAGGCAUGCUGGAGGUAUCAGAAGUGCGAAUGCUGACAUAAGUAACGAUAAAGCGGGUGAAAAGCCCGCUCGCCGGAAGACCAAGGGUUCCUGUCCAACGUUAAUCGGGGCAGGGUGAGUCGACCCCUAAGGCGAGGCCGAAAGGCGUAGUCGAUGGGAAACAGGUUAAUAUUCCUGUACUUGGUGUUACUGCGAAGGGGGGACGGAGAAGGCUAUGUUAGCCGGGCGACGGUUGUCCCGGUUUAAGCAUGUAGGCUGGUUAUCCAGGCAAAUCCGGAUAAUCAAGGCUGAGGUGUGAUGACGAGGCACUACGGUGCUGAAGUAACAAAUGCCCUGCUUCCAGGAAAAGCCUCUAAGCAUCAGGUAACAUCAAAUCGUACCCCAAACCGACACAGGUGGUCAGGUAGAGAAUACCAAGGCGCUUGAGAGAACUCGGGUGAAGGAACUAGGCAAAAUGGUGCCGUAACUUCGGGAGAAGGCACGCUGGUGUGUAGGUGAAGUCCCUGCGGAUGGAGCUGAGACCAGUCGAAGAUACCAGCUGGCUGCAACUGUUUAUUAAAAACACAGCACUGUGCAAACACGAAAGUGGACGUAUACGGUGUGACGCCUGCCCGGUGCCGGAAGGUUAAUUGAUGGGGUUAUCCGUAAGGAGAAGCUCUUGAUCGAAGCCCCGGUAAACGGCGGCCGUAACUAUAACGGUCCUAAGGUAGCGAAAUUCCUUGUCGGGUAAGUUCCGACCUGCACGAAUGGCGUAAUGAUGGCCAGGCUGUCUCCACCCGAGACUCAGUGAAAUUGAACUCGCUGUGAAGAUGCAGUGUACCCGCGGCAAGACGGAAAGACCCCGUGAACCUUUACUAUAGCUUGACACUGAACAUUGAGCCUUGAUGUGUAGGAUAGGUGGGAGGCUUUGAAGCGUGGACGCCAGUCUGCGUGGAGCCAACCUUGAAAUACCACCCUUUAAUGUUUGAUGUUCUAACGUUGGCCCCUUACCGGGGUUGCGGACAGUGUCUGGUGGGUAGUUUGACUGGGGCGGUCUCCUCCCAAAGCGUAACGGAGGAGCACGAAGGUUAGCUAAUCCUGGUCGGACAUCAGGAGGUUAGUGCAAUGGCAUAAGCUAGCUUGACUGCGAGCGUGACGGCGCGAGCAGGUGCGAAAGCAGGUCAUAGUGAUCCGGUGGUUCUGAAUGGAAGGGCCAUCGCUCAACGGAUAAAAGGUACUCCGGGGAUAACAGGCUGAUACCGCCCAAGAGUUCAUAUCGACGGCGGUGUUUGGCACCUCGAUGUCGGCUCAUCACAUCCUGGGGCUGAAGUAGGUCCCAAGGGUAUGGCUGUUCGCCAUUUAAAGUGGUACGCGAGCUGGGUUUAGAACGUCGUGAGACAGUUCGGUCCCUAUCUGCCGUGGGCGCUGGAGAAUUGAGGGGGGCUGCUCCUAGUACGAGAGGACCGGAGUGGACGCAUCACUGGUGUUCGGGUUGUCAUGCCAAUGGCACUGCCCGGUAGCUAAAUGCGGAAGAGAUAAGUGCUGAAAGCAUCUAAGCACGAAACUUGCCCCGAGAUGAGUUCUCCCUGAGACUUUAAGUCUCCUGAAGGAACGUUAAAGACGAUGACGUUGAUAGGCCGGGUGUGUAAGCGCAGCGAUGCGUUGAGCUAACCGGUACUAAUGAACCGUGAGGCUUAACCUUACAACGCCGAAG